UUGGAGGGCAAGUCUGGUGCCAGCAGCCGCGGUAAUUCCAGCUCCAAUAGCGUAUAUUAAAGUUGUUGCAGUUAAAAAGCUCGUAGUUGAAUUUCGGGGUUCUACCGUUGGUCGGGCAAUUGUCUGUACUGGCGUGUGGAAUUUCUACCUUCUGGGGAACCAUCAUGUUAUUAAUUUAGCGUGGUGGGAAACCAGGACCUUUACCUUGAAAAAAUUAGAGUGUUCAAAGCAGGCUUACGUCUGAAUACAUUAGCAUGGAAUAAUAAAAUAGGACGGUGGUCCUGUUUUGUUGGUUUCUGAAUCACCGUAAUGAUUAAUAGGGAUAGUUGGGGGCAUUAGUAUUCAAUUGUCAGAGGUGAAAUUCUUGGAUUUAUUGAAGACUAACUUCUGCGAAAGCAUUUGCCAAGGAUGUUUUCAUUAAUCAAGAACGAAAGUUAGGGGAUCGAAGACGAUCAGAUACCGUCGUAGUCUUAACCAUAAACUAUGCCGACUAGGGGUCGGACGGUGGUUUUUUUAUGCCCCGUUCGGCGCCUUACGGGAAAC
rnacentral:rRNA from 1 species